CGCGCCUGGGCUACGCCUGCGCGAGCGCAUGCGCGCACUCACGCACGCGCCGGCUUCAGCCAGAGAGCCGGCGCCUGCGGCUCGAGUUUACGCGCGUCGGUCACGUGUCGGUCGCCGUCCGCGUUUGAGGCGUUUGCGCCCAGGUCGGCGCGACUACAGUUUGAGAGGCGCUGGCAGGAGGCGCGUUGUUUAAUCCGCUGUCCUCCAUGGAGACAGACACCGCCAAGGCCAAGCACCUGGAUUCCCUAUCUCCUCCCUGCAAGGAGAUCCAGGCUGGUGGGAAAGCUGCUGACCAGCAAGGCCAUAGGCUCCCCCUCCCCUACCUAAAACCCCAAAUAAAACCCUUUUAACUUUUCUGGGAGUUUAGGAUUUCAGCGCUGGCUGCCCUCUCUUCUUGCUCAGCGCUGUGCAAUAAUAAAAUUCCUACUUUCUUCCACUACACCAAGUGUUAGAGAUGAGCUUGCUGCUCGAGUGAGCGAACUGUAGGUUCCAUAUCAAUUUGGUGACCCAGAUGGGACAACGUCCCAGGUGGAUGUCUUGCCUGUGGCACACCGGCUUCUGGCUGAAGGCCUCUCUUGGAAGCUGUCUUGCAGCUGCCUGAGCCCUUUGUCUCAGGGAAAGCCCCAAGCGAGUGGCUGCUGACCAGACGCCGCCGUUUGGCCCACGGCGCUUUUGCUUUGGUGGUGGAAGAAACUAGGUUCAGGGCUUAGGAAGGCAUCUCUUCUAAGUAGCUGGUAGUUUUUGUUUUUGUCUUUGUGUUAACUUUUUCCAACAGCCCGGCCAGAAAUAAUGGGUACCUGGCAGCCCUCUGGGCUCCGUUUGUUUUGAAGUCAAGACGCCCCAGCCAGAUUAUGAGUUGUAGUAAGUUGAAUAGUGGCCCCCAGAAGAUAUGUCCAUGUCCUAACACCUGAAAUCUGUGAAUGUGACCUUAUUUAGAAAAAGGGUCUUUGUGGAUGUAAUUAAGGACCUUGAGAUGAGACACCCUUGGAUUUUUCGAGUGGGCCCUAAGUGCAGUGACAGACGUCUUUAUCAGAGGAGGAGGCGAAGAGGACCAUGUGAAGAGGGAGGAAGAGAAUGGACAUGCAGCCACAAGCCAAGGAGCACUUGGAGCCACCGGCUGCCGGGAGAGCCAAGGAAGAAUUCUCCCCUAGAGCCUUUGCAAGGAGUAUGGCCUGCUGGAGUUCGGACUUCUGGUUUCCAGAACCGCCAGAGAAUAAAUUUCUCUUGUUGUAUACCGCCCCAGUUUUUGGUAACUUGUUACAUCAUCUUCAGGAAACUAAUGUAGCCACUGGAUAAAGUCUGCUUGAUUAGAGAAAGCUGUCUGGCAUAAUUGAUGUGAAAGUACAUUUAAGAAAAUAAUUCAUCCGAAGAAGGUAUUGUUAGUAACAAAAACCAGGUAAGCUGGGUUUGGAGAAGAAAAUUUUGGCAUGUGAAUUCUUCCCUGU
rnacentral:lncRNA from 1 species